GUUGAGAUGAAAAGCACAUUAUCCUGGUCCUGGAGUUUAUAAUCCAGCUCACCCUGCAGGCCAAGAAAAAAAUGAAAAAUUGCUUAAAUGUCAUUUCCAAAUACAAGCUGCAAAGAGAAAACAGCUCAUAAAAAGAUGGGGACCUGGCACACGCUUCAGCUCACAAAGAUCCGUGACGAAUGUUAAACACCCCCAGCGCCACCCCGCAGUCAGGGAUGGCUUGCACAGCUCACUCUGCUCCAUUUCUCUUGCCUUCCUUUUUUUUUUACCCCCCUCCACGAGACUGGCCCCAUUUUGAUAAUAAAAAUACAUUUCCCAGAA